AUCCAGACUGAUUUCUGGAAAAGCCGGCUUUAUCUGAGCAAUAUUCAGAAAUCUGGGGAGAGCUCUGUGCUACAUCCAUGGUACAGGCUUGAGGAAAGUCUCCAUGGAGCAUUCCAAAGAGAAGAUAAAUGUGGACAAUUUGUUUUGAACCUCAUCUCAAGCAGUUAAUCAUUACAGCAGGAUCACCACUCUGUGGAAGCAGAAAAGAAGCAUUGUUCCUGAUUGCAGCUCUAAUGAUCCAAAGGGUGCAAUCGCAUAAUUAGACAAAGUAAACAGUGGAAAGGUUGCAGUUCUUGCCUGCAGAGUAAUUGUGUCUUGACUGUGUGAUCAAACUAUCAAGCUUAACUGAAAGGAAGUAAACUGAAUCAGCCUGGGAUCGCAGCAUCCCUGUGUUCUGAGGAAGUCAGAUCCCGAUCUGAUGUGUGCC